rnacentral:rRNA from 1 species
UGCCUAAUACAUGCAAGUCGAGCGAAUGGAUUAAGAGCUUGCUCUUAUGAAGUUAGCGGCGGACGGGUGAGUAACACGUGGGUAACCUGCCCAUAAGACUGGGAUAACUCCGGGAAACCGGGGCUAAUACCGGAUAACAUUUUGAACCGCAUGGUUCGAAAUUGAAAGGCGGCUUCGGCUGUCACUUAUGGAUGGACCCGCGUCGCAUUAGCUAGUUGGUGAGGUAACGGCUCACCAAGGCAACGAUGCGUAGCCGACCUGAGAGGGUGAUCGGCCACACUGGGACUGAGACACGGCCCAGACUCCUACGGGAGGCAGCAGUAGGGAAUCUUCCGCAAUGGACGAAAGUCUGACGGAGCAACGCCGCGUGAGUGAUGAAGGCUUUCGGGUCGUAAAACUCUGUUGUUAGGGAAGAACAAGUGCUAGUUGAAUAAGCUGGCACCUUUACGGUACCU